rnacentral:rRNA from 1 species
GAGGAUAAGCUCGAAAAUUGUCGUUGAGAGUUGUAUAAAUAAAAGUUGUUGUGUAGGCCUAAGAUUAGCCACCACAAAAAAGUUUGUUAUAAAAUAAUAAAAACACAUAGAAAUAUUAUUAUACACCGUACCACACCAAACUAUAAGGAUAACAACCUAAACUAAUAGGUUGAUACACCUAUGCUAGGAUGAGUAUUAAAAUUAUUAUAAACUAUAAUAACAAAAGUUUUCUUAGAAAUUAUUUUUAAUAUAAAUUAAAGAGAAGGAACUCGGCAAAUGUUGUUCCGCCUGUUUAUCAAAAACAUGGCUCUUUGAAAAAAAACAUAUAAAGAGUCGAACCUGCCCAGUGAAAUUUUAACGGCCGCGGUACCCUGACCGUGCAAAGGUAGCAUAAUCACUUGCCUUAUAAUUGAAGGCUGGCAUGAAUGGUCUGACGAGAGCUACACUGUCUCCUCUUUAUUAUCUAGAAAUUAACCUAUAGGUGAAGAGGCCUAUAUAGUAUUGAAGGACAAGAAGACCCUGUCGAGCUUGAGAGUAAAGUAGAAAACUAAGUAUUAAAGAAGAUCAAUAGACUACAUAAUUUUUUUAGUUGGGGCGACUAAGGAACAAAUAAAGCUUCUUUUAUCUUUUAUAAAUUUACAGAUUUAGAUCCAGCUAUCGCUGAUCAAAGGAGUUAGUUACCGCAGGGAUAACAGCAUAAUCUCCCUUAAGAGACCUAAUCGAAAGGGGGGGGUUGUGACCUCGAUGUUGGACUAGAAUAUCCUAAAGAUGCA